rnacentral:rRNA from 1 species
UAGGGAAUCUUCGGCAAUGGACGAAAGUCUGACCGAGCAACGCCGCGUGAGUGAAGAGGGUUUUCGGAUCGUAAAACUCUGUUGUUAGAGAAGAACAAGGAUGAGAGUAAAACGUUCAUCCCUUGACGGUAUCUAACCAGAAAGCCACGGCUAACUACGUGCCAGCAGCCGCGGUAAUACGUAGGUGGCAAGCGUUGUCCGGAUUUAUUGGGCGUAAAGCGAGCGCAGGCGGUUUCUUAAGUCUGAUGUGAAAGCCCCCGGCUCAACCGGGGAGGGUCAUUGGAAACUGG